rnacentral:lncRNA from 1 species
GUUCUGAGAAGAAGGGUGAUGAUUUGACUUGUGGUUUGCAGGAUCUCCUGGCAGAGCAGAAGGGAAAGUGGCCUUAGGAGGCAGCUGGAAGCUGCCUACCCCGGCCCUAGAAGCUGCUGCCUCUGAAUGGAUGGGAGUCAUCAUCGUCAGCACAAAUCAUGCCAGAGCUGAGGAAGGGCUGAGCAGGCACUGAGCUGGGCAGGGGAUUUCCAAGAAGGACAGCAGGAGGUUCUCCUACUUGGCCAUAUUCUUCAGAACUCCUGACUGGACCGUAAGGAUGCUCCUGUACACCAAGGGGUCAGAACUGGCUGUGAAGUCACAGGCAUGUCCCUUCUGCUCUCCAGGAGUUGGCUGCUAAAAUAAUAAAGACACUUCCACGUACUGAGCCCUCGUGCUGUGGGCUCCUCACCUUCAAUUUGCCAUCCAGUCUUACAGAGGUGGAAACCAAGGAGUGGAAACCUAAGUCAGGCUGCUGGUAAGCGGCAGAGUCAGCACUCACACUCAGAUGUAUCCCUCUGGUUCUAACGGUGAGCUCUUUGUCAUGGGGUGGCGCCUCAGAUGACUUCUGGUGCUCAUUUCCCAUCCCAAGGCCCCCACUCCCAGAUCAGAUGCUGCCAACACUUGCUUCAGCAUUGAUCCAAUCUGCCAAUUGUUCCCUGAUCAAGUAAUUAUUGAGAACCCUGCUUUGAUGAUGUCACUCCCUCACUCCAUAACUCUCUACACCUCCCCAGCACUUCAUGGAACAUUGGGCCAAAGUCUUUAAAGAUCACCCAGGUAAAGAGUUACCAAUUACAUACCCUGAAUUUAGCAUUGUAUCUUGCUAUUUCUUCACAGGCAUUUUGGCUCUCUCCCACCAAGACUCUGAGAGUUCGCUGGCCAGUGACCAUUUUUGCCCUGUGUUUUUAUCUUAUCCAGGGUAUCAGACAAACAGUAGAUGCUGGCUGAUUAGUCUUCAGAAG